rnacentral:tRNA from 1 species
CUCCCCUUGGUGUAGUUGGUUCAUCACGUUCGACUGUAAUGGUUUCAUUGUCAUCGAAAGGCCUCUAGUUCGAUUCUGGAAGGGGAGA